CUUCCUAAGAGACCACGCACUUUGGUUUCAUAACUUUUAUCGAGCUUGAGAUUGGUAAUCUUCAAGCCCGGUUCGAUUGGAGUUGAGAUACUAUUCGAAUUAGAUAAACCGUAAUCAUUAACUAACUGCUCGAUAUAUGAAUUUUGAUGUAUUUCCAACUUUUCUUUACUACGAUUAAUUUCCAUUCCAAUGAACUUCUUGCAUUGUUCCAGGUCUCUGAUUCCAAAACGCUCAUUCAAUCGCUUGACCAACCACUCAAUUAGACGAUCAUCGCAACCUGUAAUUAGAAAAUCGUCUACGUAAACGACAAACACGCAACGUAGAGGAUUUUCGGCAUCGAAGUAGACACACGGAUCAACUUUGCUCCUUACGAAACCGAGCGAAAAUGCUGAAUACCAAACGUCUUUGAUCUCCAUCGCCUUUAACUCUUCAUCUAUCGCUACACGCCAAAAUUUCGACUCAGGACCGUUUAACGCUUCUUCAUACGUAAGGUCAUCGACCCCAGCGAGUGCAAAGCAAGCAAAAUCGUCGCUACGUUCAUCCGAAGAUGAUGUAUCGAUUAAACUACGACCUACUAAAUUAUCACCGCUACGUUCGGCUUCAGUCAGCUCAUCUGGGUUUAUCCAAUUGGAGCAACCAGGAGCUGAAUCAACGUUACUUACUGGUGUAACCGUAGGUACGAUAUUCACAUCGCUUACACUCACUGAUACCGAUGUUUUUAACAAAUGAUCGUUAAUAACAUCGUGUAUCUUACGCGUUUCGUCUACUUCUACGCAACUCGAAUUCGUAAAUUUAUUUCGUAAAACAUCGUACAAUACAUAACCUGUCUCUGUAAAACCGAGUAAAACCAUAUCGAUCGACUU